CAGGAUGCCCACUUAAAUUUAAGUUUCCAAUAAACAAUGACUAAAAAAUUAUAAGUAUAGCCCAUGCAAUGUUUGGGAUAUACUUAUACUAAAAAUGUACUCAUUGCCUUCUGAAAUUCACAUUUGCCUGGGUUUCUUGUA
rnacentral:miRNA from 1 species